rnacentral:tRNA from 1 species
GGUAGGAUACUCAAGUGGCCAACGAGGGCAGACUGUAAAUCUGCUGGCUUAUGCCUUCCCUGGUUCGAAUCCAGGUCCUACCA